rnacentral:rRNA from 1 species
ACGGAGGGGGCAAGCGUUGUUCGGAAUUACUGGGCGUAAAGCGCGCGUAGGCGGGUCUUUAAGUCAGAGGUGAAAUCCUGGAGCUCAACUCCAGAACUGCCUUUGAUACUGGAGAUCUUGAGUCCGGAAGAGGUUAGUGGAAUUCCCAGUGUAGAGGUGAAAUUCGUAGAUAUUGGGAAGAACACCAGUGGCGAAGGCGGCUAACUGGUCCGGUACUGACGCUGAGGUGCGAAAGCGUGGGGAGCAAACAGG